rfam:Felis catus isolate Cinnamon breed Abyssinian chromosome B4, whole genome shotgun sequence.
GCCUAGGUGGCUCAGUCAGUUGGGCCUCUGACUUCGGCUCAGGUCAUGAUCUUACGGUUCGUGGGUUCGAGCCCCACGUCAGGCU